UUACCUGGUUUGCUGCUUCUUGACUAUGCACUACUUGUGUUGCAGCAAGGUUUUCCUCAGUCCUCCCAGCUUCAUUGAGAGUUGUAUUAUUGUUGGUUUGAGGGGUAUGCUGCACAAUUUAAAAGCGAGAAGGCAAGAGAUUAGCGACAUAUGUAUAUGUAUUUUCAAUCACAUCCAAUUAUUGUCGAUACCUGGUUCCUAAUUUCUUGGCUAUGCAGUACUGGCCUUGCUUCAAGUUAUCCUAGCUGGUCCUAGCAUCAACUUCAGUUGUAUUAUUGUUGUUUGCCGAUGUACGCUGCGGAUUUUAAAAGAGGGUAGGCUAGAUAUAAGCAAGAUUAUGCAAAUUUAUAACACAACAGAAAUAAACAUGCACAAAUCAUGUUCCGGUUACCUCUACCAGUAAAGCCUGACGAUAAGGCGCCAUCAUUGUUUCAACUUCCCCCAUCAAUUCUUGUCUAAGCAUGGCUUUAAGUUGUUCUCUCUCUGCUUUCUUUUCAGCUUCAUGCUUCUGCAUUUUUUCCUAUAACUGACGUUCCUGUUCUUCAAGCCUCUCUAUUCUCUCCUGAAUAAUUC
rnacentral:lncRNA from 1 species